rnacentral:rRNA from 1 species
UACGUAGGGGGCUAGCGUUGUUCGGAAUUACUGGGCAUAAAGCGCACGUAGGUGGUCCGCUAAGUCGCGUGUGAAAUCCCUCGGCUCAACCGAGGGAAUUGCGGGCGAUACUGGCGGGCUAGAGAUCGGGAGGGGUGAGUGGAACUCCAGGUGGAGCGGUGAAAUGCGUAGAUAUCAAGAGGAACACCUGCGGCGAAGGCGGGUUGCUGGGCCGACACUGACGCUGAAGUGCGAAAGCUAGGGGAGCGAACGGG